AGAGUUUGAUCCUGGCUCAGAACGAACGCUGGCGGAGUGCUUAAUACAUGCAAGUCGUGCGAGAAAGCCGUUUUCGAAUGGUGAGUAGAGCGGCGAACGGGUGAGUAACACGUAAGCAACCUGCCCUUAAAUCUUGGAUAACCUUGCUAACGCGGGGCUAAUACAGGAUGUGAUGAUAAUAUCGCCUGGUAUAAUCAUUAAAGGUGACCUCUACUUGUAAGUUAUCGUUUAAGGAGGGGCUUGCGGACCAUUAGCUAGUUGGUGGGGUAAUAGCCUACCAAGGCAACGAUGGUUAGCCGACCUGAGAGGGUGAUCGGCCACAUUGGGACUGAGAUACGGCCCAGACUCCUACGGGAGGCAGCAGUAGGGAAUUUUGCGCAAUGGACGAAAGUCUGACGCAGCAACUCCGCGUGAGGGAUGAAUGCCUUCGGGUUGUAAACCUCUGUUGAGUGGGAAGAAAAGCCAUAGUGCUAAUAUCACUAUGGUGUGACGGUACCACUUAAGAAAGCUCCGGCUAACUACGUGCCAGCAGCCGCGGUAAUACGUAGGGAGCAAGCGUUGUUCGGAUUUACUGGGCGUAAAGAGAGCGUAGGUGGGAAAGUAAGUUAGAAGUGAAAUGUACCGGCUCAACCGGUGAUCUGCUUUUAAUACUGCUUUUCUUGAGUAUAGGAGGGGAAAAUGGAAUUCCUGGUGUAGCGGUGGAAUGCGUAGAUAUCAGGAAGAACACCGAUGGCGAAGGCAGUUUUCUGGACUAAUACUGACACUGAGGCUCGAAAGCUAGGGGAGCGAACAGGAUUAGAUACCCUGGUAGUCCUAGCCGUAAACGAUGGACACUAGAUGUCGGGACGUAUUGUGUUUCGGUAUCGUAGCUAACGCGUUAAGUGUCCCGCCUGGGGAGUACGCUCGCAAGAGUGAAACUCAAAGGAAUUGACGGGGGCCCGCACAAGCGGUGGAGCAUGUGCUUUAAUUCGAUGCAACGCGAAGAACCUUACCUGGUCUUGACAUGGGAAUGCCGUCUUUAGGAGACUAGAGAUUUUCCUUCGGGAACAUUCUACACAGGUGCUGCAUGGUUGUCGUCAGCUCGUGUCGUGAGAUGUUGGGUUAAGUCCCGCAACGAGCGCAACCCCUGUCCUUAGUUGCCAUCAGGUUAUGCUGGGAACUCUAAGGAUACUGCCUGGAUUAACCAGGAGGAAGGUGGGGAUGACGUCAAAUCAUCAUGGCCCUUACGGCCAGGGCUAGACACGUGCUACAAUGGGCGGUACAGAGGGUUGCGAGACAGUGAUGUUAAGCUAAUCCCAAAAAACCGUUCUCAGUUCGGAUAGGAGUCUGCAAUUCGACUCCUUGAAGUUGGAAUCGCUAGUAAUCGCGGAUCAGCACGCCGCGGUGAAUACGUUCCCGGGCCUUGUACACACCGCCCGUCAAGCCAUGAAAGAUGGUAGUACCCAAAGUCGUUAUUCUAACCCUCGGGAGGAAGACGCCUAAGGUGAGAUCAUUGAUUGGGGCUAAGUCGUAACAAGGUA
rnacentral:rRNA from 1 species